UCGGUUCGGUUUCAUAAUGCGGUUUAUUCGGUUUUAAAAAUAAUUGAGCUCAUUCCAAAAUAAACCCAACACAAGUGGAUUUUAUCUAGGAUUUAAAUAGCACAAUUUUAUACUAGUCUUUAAACUUUUAGUUUACUUAUGAACAAAAAAAUAAAACAAUAUAUCUUAAAACUUAUGAAAUUGCUGCAUUUUUCGGAAAUGGAUUGAACAAUCAUUGUUAACAUUUGUAUUCUAAAUUUCUACUCAUAUUAUAUCUAUCUUGCUGACAUGGAUACAGGGUCGUUCAAUGUAACAAAUGUCUUUGAGUUCCAUAAUGGACGGUGGUAUAUGGUUCAUCAUCACAGUUCUGUGAUGAAUGGGGAUGUAGAGCAACAAAUUAUGCAUGGAUAGUAAUAGUAAGAGAGAUGAUAUGUUAUUAUGUCUGAUACUGGUCUCAGAAAAGGAAAUUGCAAUGGGGCCAAAAAAGUGUGAAAAAUAGAUUAAGUGGAUUAAAGUAAAUACAAAAGAUCGAUGGAAAAGAUUACAUGUGAAACAACGUCCAAUACAUCGGUGAGACUUGUGAAAAACCAAGGUUGUGCAGUUGCAGGAGUUACUAAUUCAAAAGUAUAGUCCAAUUUUGGCGUGCAUUUUAGUUCUCUAGCAGUGUGUGCAUUUUUCAAUAUUGUAAGAGACAAGUCCAUUCCGGCAAUGCAAUAUCCAAUCAACCUUCAAUGCAAUAUCCAAUCAACCUUACCUAUA